rnacentral:lncRNA from 1 species
UCAAAACCAUUCAUUCAUUUUGGGAGAUGGAAUGUACAUUUCAUCAAUCUCCUAAAUCCAAUGGAUUUGAUCCAACAAAAGUCAAAUCAAUCAUGACCAAGGCCCAAAAUAGAAAUUCAAACAUCACAAGACCAUAAAAAUGGUUCAACAAUAUUUUUAAACAUUUAAUCAAUUAAAUAUCAUAUUAAAAAUGAAUUAAAAUACAUUUUAAUUUGGUCAAAACCUAAAAUCCCUUCAAAAUACC